CUCCUACGGGAAGCAGCAGUGGGGAAUUUUGGACAAUGGGCGAAAGCCUGAUCCAGCAAUGCCGCGUGAGUGAAGAAGGCCUUCGGGUUGUAAAGCUCUUUUGUCAGGGAAGAAACGGUGAAGGCUAAUAUCCUUCGCUAAUGACGGUACCUGAAGAAUAAGCACCGGCUAAC
rnacentral:rRNA from 1 species